GAGUUUGAUCCUGGCUCAGAUUGAACGCUGGCGGCAGGCUUAACAUAUGCAAGUCGAGCGGGGGAGAUUGCUUCGGUAAUUGACCUAGCGGCGAACGGGUGAGUAAUACUUAGGAAUCUGCCUAUUAAUGGGGGACAACAUCUCGAAAGGGAUGCUAAUACCGCAUACGCCCUACGGGGAAAGCAGGGGAUCACUUGUGACCUUGCGUUAAUAGAUGAGCCUAAGUCGGAUUAGCUAGUUGGUGGGGUAAAGGCCUACCAAGGCGACGAUCUGUAGCGGGUCUGAGAGGAUGAUCCGCCACACUGGGACUGAGACACGGCCCAGACUCCUACGGGAGGCAGCAGUGGGGAAUAUUGGACAAUGGGGGAACCCGUGAUCCAGCCAUGCCGCGUGUGUGAAGAAGGCCUUAUGGUUGUAAAGCACUUUAAGCGAGGAGGAGGCUCCUGUAGUUAAUACCUACAGAGAGUGGACGUUACUCGCUAGAAUAAGCACCGGCUAACUCUGUG
rnacentral:rRNA from 1 species